rnacentral:lncRNA from 1 species
UUUUGUUUCUUAAAUCCCUUAUUUAAUUCCACAUUUUUUUUCUUAGUGGCAGAUCACACUAAAACUCUAGUACUAUUUUCCUCUGAAUUAUGAUGGAGGAAAAUAACUCAGCAACUGAUUCCAAUUUGAGCGUUCCUAUCAUAGACCUCAUACACAACACAACAAUAUCAAUCGUGUAGAGGUAAUUAACCAAAUUAAAUAUGCAUGCAAAAAGUGGAGAUUUUUCCAAGUGAGAUUAAUCUUGAAAUUUCUGUUGAUGUCUUGGAUGAGAUGAUUGAUGGAACAUGUAGAUUUCAUGAACAAGAUAUUGAGGUAAGGACAAAAUUUUAAUUAUACUCGUUAUUUGAAAAAGAAAAAUCUUCUCCAUGUCUUGGUUCCUUUCAAUUUUUUCUUUUGUUUUCACGUUUAAGAGCAUGUAAAUGUAAGUUGAAAAGUUGUCUUCUUAAACAAAUGUCAUUUUUAAAAUAAUCAGUGUUUUUUAUUUAUUUAUUAUUUUUGGUAGAUUUUUUUUAUAAGCUAUUAUUUUUGGUAGAUAAAUAGUCAUUAGUGUUAUUUAAUUAAUAUACAUAUAAUUAACCGUGUAAAUGCUUUUAUAUUGAUUGUAUAAAAUAUAUACAGAUGCUCAAUAUGCAAUAGAGAAUCUCAAAUUGAGUAAUUCAUAUUUCCAUUUUCUAACAUCUUGUUAUUUUUUUUUCACCACCAGUUUAAUCUAGUUUGGGGUCAGUUCCGGCAUCAAGUGGUUUCAGUCCCCUACUAUCGUAGUUGCGGGGGAUCGAACUGUGGUCCUCCCACAUCUUGUUAUGUUUGCUCAAUCAUUUUAUAAAAUUUGUUUAAAAUAAUUUUACACCGACCAUAUUAAUAAAUUAAAUUCUUAUACUCCCUCCGAACACAAAUAUAAGCAAAAAUGCACUUUUUAGAUUCAUGGAAUAAUGAAUGUAAAAUGCAUUUUUCCUUAUAUUUAUGUCCGGAGGAAGUAUGAAAUAUGCAUUUAAGUAGUUAUACCAGAUUUUUAGUCAAAAAAUAAAAAGUUAUAGCAGAUUUAAGAAAAAAAUAAAGAUUCAUACUUCAAAAUUAAUUAGCCUAUGACAAAUCUAGAUCUUAAGAAUUUUUAUCAAGUCAAAUUUAGACCUUUCUUUCUAGCUAUUUAUACCCCCCUAUUUUUCAUUGAUGCAAACCAUGUGGUAAACAAGUUAAAUUUGCUUUGCCUUUAUGUAAUAUUUUUCUCACUUUGUAUGUUAAAUUUCUUCUUUCUUUUUGUUCUUGACGGUUUCGUUUCCACAGUGAGGCUUCAUCCAUAUUCUUUUUUAUUCCAAACAACAAUAUAAACAACAAAUUGAAGAAGAAAAGUAAGUUGAAUUGACUGACUUCAUAUAACAUCAACGAAUGGUUAAGAUUAAUUUAAGAAAAAUAUAUAAAAACGAAUGGCUAAGAUCUUUUACAUUGACUAGUAUAGUAAUCCCUCUAAUCUCCAAUAUAAACAACAAAAAGUUAAGAGUUAAUUUUUAUGCUCUUUUCAUCCUACAUGAGUGAUCAAUUUGUAAAUUUAUUAUUUUCCCUCAAAACAAAUACCAUGUUAAUUUUAAUAUAAUAUUAAUCAAUCUAUUACCUCUUAAUAUAUAUCCUCUAGAAAAAAUGUAUAUAGUAUAAUCUGAAUUGCAUGCACUAAAAAACUGUAUACAGUAAUGCAACCGUGCUCAUGAUUUUUAUCAUUUGGGAUUUUUGGAUUAACAUUUUAAUUUUUUGGCUUAAUUACACAUUUGGUCCGAUGUGUUUAAUAGUUCAAGGUUCAACAGGUUGGACCGUGGUUCAGCCGGUCGGACCGUGGUUCAACCGUACCGGACCUUUUUUAAUUAAAAACAUAAUUUUAUACUUUUAAAUAAUAUACUGAAAUAACAAUCAAUAAAAAUUAUUCAAUAUUAAUAGUUUUACACUAUUUAUUUUUUUAGGCAAAAGUUUUACACUAUAAGAAACCAUAAAAUAUCAUAAAUAUGGAAACUUGGUCAUAUGAUAUCAAAAUUAUAUUUUGUUUAUGCUGUUGUUAUUUUGGUGGGAAGACUUUGGUUGCCAACCAUGUCUGGUUUUCAUGGCUGUGAGUAGUUUAAUUUCAUUUCUUGUUAUGGUUAUCUUCUUUGAAAAAUGAUUAAUUGAUUUUUAUGGUUACGGUUUUGGGAUUAAGUCUUAAUUGAUUUUUAGGGUUAGGGUUUUGGGAUUAAUUUCUAUAUUCUUUAUUGUAGAGAUUGUAGAUAUUGUAGAUGAUGGUUACUACUCUUGCGUUGUUAUGUCUGGCCAA